rnacentral:rRNA from 1 species
CCCCAAAGCGCGGGUAUUGCCUUAGUAGCGGCGAGUGAAGCGGCAAAAGCUCAAAUUUGAAAUCUGGCUCUUUCAGAGUCCGAGUUGUAAUUUGAAGAAGGUAUCUUUGGGUCUGGCUCUUGUCUAUGUUUCUUGGAACAGAACGUCACAGAGGGUGAGAAUCCCGUGCGAUGAGAUGAUCCAGGCCUAUGUAAAGUUCCUUCGAAGAGUCGAGUUGUUUGGGAAUGCAGCUCUAAGUGGGUGGUAAAUUCCAUCUAAAGCUAAAUAUUGGCGAGAGACCGAUAGCGAACAAGUACAGUGAUGGAAAGAUGAAAAGAACUUUGAAAAGAGAGUGAAAAAGUACGUGAAAUUGUUGAAAGGGAAGGGCUUGAGAUCAGACUUGGUAUUUUGUAUGUUACUUCUUCGGGGGUGGCCUCUACAGUUUAUCGGGCCAGCAUCAGUUUGGGCGGUAGGAGAAUUGCGUUGGAAUGUGGCACGGCCUCGGUUGUGUGUUAUAGCCUUCGUCGAUACUGCCAGCCUAGACUGAGGACUGCGGUUUAUACCUAGGAUGUUGGCAUAAUGAUCUUAAGUCGCCCGUCUUGAAACACGGACCAA